AAUUACCCUAGCCUAGUGCAUUGCUGAAUGGUGGUGGUGUCUUUACAAAUGUGGCCAGAUUGGCAUGUUGCAGUAUUGGAUCACUCAUCUUCAUCCCUGGAGUGCUGGCAUGCUUUUUUCCCGCAGAUAAUCUGCGGGUGCUGAGCGAUGCAAUCAAUGGUGUACUGUUUCAAAACAAUGACAGAUUUCCUCCGCUAAUGUCAGCACUCUGUGCUGACAGCAUACAAAAUUUGAUUGGCAAUUCCCUGCAGCUCAUUCUUUUGUUCCAAGUACGAUCUUUUGUUACAAGGCCCAGGCUUUUGUCCAAUUUCAGGCACCCGGCCAUGUUACAGUGUCAAGGUCUCUGGUACUGGGAACCGACACUAAGUGGUUAAUAACCUUUUUUUUUUAUUUUGUUACAACAGUCCAAGGCCAUCCGUAUAACAACAAGCAGCCGGAAUGCAGAUACAAAUUAUCCUGUCUUAUUUGUUGUCAGACAACAGAAGAGUGUGCUCUCCUGGGCUGUGCCAUUUAUUAUACAGUCAGAGUAUACAUAUGAUGAAGUGAGCCACACUCUUUGUCCAGAAAAUGGAUUUACUCCAACUACUGCUCAUAAUAUCAGCAUUGAUGUGACCACAGCUUCCAUUAAGCAGGUUCAUUUCACAUUGUCAAUAAGUAUAAUCAGCGAUUUUGAACUCAGGACUCACUUGCCCAAGACAUUUGUGGUUAGUCCAUCAAAUCCAAAGUAUUAUACAUAUAGGUUCCCUCCAGACACUGAGUUCAUGAGAGUCAAAGCAAUAUCCACAUCAGAUGUCUGUACUGUCAUCUCAGUCCAGCCUGCCAAGUGCCCUGUGUAUGACCAGCAUCGCAAUGUUGAGUUUCUUGGUCAGUUUCAAACUGUUACAAAGCAAGGAGCCAUCACAGUGCAAAAAACAAAUUAUCCAGGUGGUUAUUUCUUUGUGGUUGUAGUGGUGCAGCCAACAGAUAAAGACUGUCUCGGAAAAGCUGUACACUUGGUGCCUAUACAAAACAUGACCUCCCAGUUUGUGUUACACAGUGACAAAAAUCGGAGCAAAGAGAUAACAAUAACUGUAGAAACGAUUUUACCAUUAUCUGAAUACUGGAAACCCAUUGUGACCACUGUGGCUGUGCUGUUGUCCUUUUACGUGAUAACUGGCUUCAUCAUACUUGUUCAAAGCAAAAGGAAAAAGGCACAAGAUUCUGAAAAUCUUGAGGAACAGGUCCGUAUAUUAGGUGAAGAAGAAAACAGAAACAGCAUUCCUUUUGCACAAAACCAAACUGCAGGCUCUUCAAAAUAUGGUACAGCAGGUGAUGUUUCUGGAAAUUCAGAAAUGAGAAGUCAUCCUCUGAGUCAAAUACCAGAACACGAGGCUGAUCUUGAUGAAGAUGACAUUGAUAUGUUGGAGGAUGUGAAUGAAGAAAAGGAAAUCUACAGAACUAAGACAGCCAUUUGUGUGGGUGAUCUUGCUCGUAAGAAACCCAAAACCUUGGAUCGCAAGUACAAGCUGUACUACUGGAAUAUCUUGACUAUUGCUGUAUUCUAUGCUUUGCCAGCUGUCCAGCUUGUCAUGACAUAUCAAGCAGUACUGAAUAUGUCAGGAAAUGAAGAUAUGUGCUACUAUAACUUCCUGUGCGCAAUGCCCCUUGGACAGAUUAGUGCUUUUAACAAUGUUUUUAGUAACAUUGGAUAUGUCAUGUUGGGCAUCCUGUACUUAAUGAUUGUGUGGAAGAAACAUCAUAUUCAUAAACAGGCUAUGACAUCAGACAGUGAGAAAGCAAAGACUUGUGGUAUACCGAAGCACUUUGGCAUGUUUUAUGCUUUGGGUAUUGCACUUGUCAUGGAGGGUGUGUUGAGUGCCAGUUACCAUGUCUGCCCUAACUCCUCCAACUACCAGUUUGAUACGGCCUUCAUGUACAUCAUAGCUGGCUUAGGAAUGUUGAUGUUGUAUCAACAAAGACAUCCUGAUGUCAAUGCCAAUGCCUAUGCAGCUUUUGCCACCUUUGCUGCUGUCAUUUUUGUUGCUUUUUUGGGGGUGGUGUUUGUAUCAAUUUACUUCUAUAUUGCCUUUGCGGUACUUCAUGUGAUCACCUGCUUAGCUGUUAGUACACAGAUCUACUACAUGGGAACAUGGAAAUUAGACCUUGGGAUGUUCAAAAGGGCCCUCAUUAUUAUUCGCACUGAACUCUGCAAGUGUGCCAAACCAGUUUAUAUUGAUCGAAUGAUUGUGCUCACUGUAGCAAACGCCAUCAAUUGGUCAAUAAAACAGCUGCAUUGUCUCGUGAAAGUAAUGGCCCAUGCUUGUUGAUGAGGUUUUAUGAUGGCCAUGAUGUAUGGCAUAUUCUGUCAGCUGCAGCACUUUUCCUGUCAUUUUUGUUGGUACUUCUGAUGGAUGAGGAUCUGGAUGGGAAAAAUAGGAUGAAGAUACCUGUAUUUUAAAGUUGUUAAGCACUGCUUUUUGUCUCUUUCAAGAUAAAUUUAAAAAUAUAUAUAUUGUUUUAUUGUUAAAAUGAUGCAACCAGUCUGAUAUAUCUAUGGAGAAUACAAUGGAUGAGCACAUUUAAGGUUAUGACAAAAUCAAGGGAACCAUGGCUUGAACAUGGGCUGUGUGCAUUUCGAAUGUUUGUGGGAGGAACUUCAGCUGGGAAAACAUCCCCCGCAGUGCAUCACUGUAUUUUACUGUUUCAUUAAUGUAUGAUUUUGAAUUGAAAAGUGUACGAGUCUGUCCCUUUUUUUCUAAAAUUCACAUUGAGAAUAUUACCAUAUUCAUUACUAAAUUGUUCGUGUGAAUGUACUACAAUGCAAUGAAUUUGAAGUAAAUUGAUAUGGGGCUGUUGACUUUAGUUUUCCAUAAAUUUGCACUUAUGGUGUAGAAGAAUUCAGGAGGAAUAGACUGUAGCCCUAGUGCUUUACAGAGCUGUUUAUUUAAUAAACUGCUGUGAAGCACUAGCUAACAUUGUGCACCCACCUUUACACAGAUCAAGGUUCAAACUUGGAAAAAAAAUUGUCACACGUGUAAAUUGUUGGAUAUCAAUAAUACAGACGGUAUGGCUCAUCAUUUGCAAUUAGUGUGUAAAACUAUAUAUUAAAGCCCUGGUUGUUUGUGAAAAUUGGUCUGAUUGGGACAACGACAUUCCUUAUGUUUUAAUGGGUUAAAGGGCUGACCCUAGUAGCUUUGUGUUAUUUUAACGUUGCCAAUCUUUCAUUUGCACUGACUCUAGUCCUGUAGUUGAAUGCACAUUUUCAGUAGAGUUUCAGAGUUUCAAAGCCAUUUGCAAAAAGCUUCCGAAAUGGUUCCAUAUGGAAUCGAACGUCUCAUAUAGAGCGCCCCCAUUCCGUGUAAAACAGGCAGGCCAACGUAAAAGUC
rnacentral:misc_RNA from 1 species